CAGUCGCAGCGGCCGGUGCUUUGGGAAGGACAAACACCAGAGGAGGUUCCCGAUGCAACCUUGAGAUCUCAGCCAUCCGUGUUAUCACUGGCUGAAAAACUUCAAUGAAUUAGGAAGAGGCCACAUAAAAGCAAAGAAGACAUGCUGCAUGAAGUCAUGUAGCAGUCCCUUAA